CUCAUGGUCCUCAUUGUAAGGGUUAUCCAGUUGAUCUCCUUGGGGGCCUAGCCUUUCAUGAAUGCUCCUUUGUGAGUAGACAGCUGAACGACUUUCUUCACGAUCCUCGUUUCGAUGGUUGUCUAGCUGACCUCCCUGGGGGGCUAGCCUUUGAUGAACAUUUCCCUGCAGGCCCAGGAGGGCACGGAUGUCAAGUCGUG
rnacentral:lncRNA from 1 species